rnacentral:rRNA from 1 species
AUCCUUCCUUNAUUAAGCCGAGUGGCGCAAGGGUGAGUAAUGCAUAGAUUACCUGCCUCCGGGAUAAGGACAACUUUGUGAAAACGGAGCUAAUACUUAAUAAUACAAAAGGAAAUUAUUUUCUUUUGUCAAUGGGAGGGUAGCAAUACCUUUUGCCUGGAGAGGGGUUUAUGUCCUAUCAGCUUGUUGGUGGGGUAAUGGCCUACCAAGGCGAAGACGGGUAGCCGGUCUUACAGGAUGGUCGGCCACACUGGGACUGAGACACUGCCCAGACUUCUACGGAAGGCUGCAGUCGAGAAUCUUUCGCAAUGCCCGAAAGGGUGACGAAGCGACGCCGCGUGAGUGAGGAAGGCCUUCGGGUUGUAAAGCUCUGUCAGGAGUUAANAAAUGNAANUGUCUAAUACCNCAUUUAUUUGACAAAACUCCAAGGAACCACGGUUACUCUGNCCNCACCNCGGUAAUCAAAAGUGCAACCNUUUUCNAAUAUUGGCCUAAAACCCUNNGUGGUUUNAANCAAANUAAACCCUUUUNAACNAAAAUCUUUAAANCAAUUUA